rnacentral:rRNA from 1 species
GCUUGUGGCCAUACCACCAUGAACACGCCUGUUCAGGGUCGGGCCUGGUUAGUACUGGGACAGCCUGGGAAUACCAGGUGCCGUAAACC